rnacentral:rRNA from 1 species
GUGUCAGCAGCCGCGGUAAUACAGAGGGAGCAAGCGUUAUCCGGAAUGAUUGGGCGUAAAGCGUUCGUAGGUGGCUGGUGAAGUCUACUGUCAAAAAUCAGGGCUUAACCUUGAGCAGGCAGUGGAAACUCAUUAGCUUGAGUGCGGUAGGGGUAGAGGGAACUCUUUAUGGAGCGGUGAAAUGCGUAGAGAUAAGGAGGAACACCAGCGGCGAAGGCGCUCUACUGGGCCGAUACUGACACUGAGGGACGAAAGCUAAGGGAGCGAAUAGGAUUAGAGACCCUAGUAGUCUUAGCUGUAAACGAUGGAAACUAAGUGCUGCCGAAAGCAGUGCUGUAGCUAACGCGUUAAGUUUCCCGCCUGGGGAGUAUGCUCGCAAGAGUGAA